UUCCGGUUGAUCCCGCCGGAGGUUACUGCUAUUGGUGUUCGACUAAGCCAUGCAAGUCAUAUGUUCCUCGUGAACAUGGCAUACUGCUCAGUAACACGUGGAUAACCUGCCCUUGGGUCUGGGAUAACCCCGGGAAACUGGGGAUAAUACCGGAUAACGCAUAUGUGCUGGAAUGCUUUAUGCGUAAAAUGGAUUCGUCCGCCCAAGGAUGGGUCUGCGGCCUAUCAGGUAGUAGUGGGUGUAAUGUACCUACUAGCCAACAACGGGUACGGGUUGUGAGAGCAAGAGCCCGGAGAUGGAUUCUGAGACAUGAAUCCAGGCCCUACGGGGCGCAGCAGGCGCGAAAACUUUACAAUGCGGGCAACCGUGAUAAGGGAACCUCGAGUGCCUGUAAAUGCAGGCUGUUCAGGUGCCUAAAACACACCUGAAGAAAGGGCCGGGCAAGACCGGUGCCAGCCGCCGCGGUAAUACCGGCGGCUCGAGUGGUGGCCGCUUUUAUUGGGCUUAAAGCGUUCGUAGCUGGGUUGUUAAGUCUCUUGGGAAAUCUGGCGGCUUAACCGUCAGGCGUCUAAGGGAUACUGGCAAUCUUGGAACCGGGAGAGGUGAGGGGUACUUCGGGGGUAGGAGUGAAAUCCUGUAAUCCUCGAGGGACCACCUGUGGCGAAGGCGCCUCACCAGAACGGCUUCGACAGUGAGGGACGAAAGCUGGGGGAGCAAACCGGAUUAGAUACCCGGGUAGUCCCAGCCGUAAACUAUGCGCGUUAGGUGUAUCGGUGACCACGAGUUACCGAGGUGCCGAAGGGAAACCGUGAAACGUGCCGCCUGGGAAGUACGGUCGCAAGGCUGAAACUUAAAGGAAUUGGCGGGGGAGCACCACAACAGGUGGAGCCUGCGGUUUAAUUGGACUCAACGCCGGGAAGCUCACCGGAUAAGACAGCAGAAUGAUUGCCGGGCUGAAGACUCUGCAUGACUAGCUGAGAGGAGGUGCAUGGCC
rnacentral:rRNA from 1 species